GACGAACGCUGGCGGCGUGCUUAACACAUGCAAGUCGAACGAGGUGCUUGCACCUAGUGGCGAACGGGUGAGUAACACGUGAGCAACCUGCCCUUGGCUCUGGGAUAGCCUCCGGAAACGGGGAUUAAUACCGGACAUGACUUCAGUCUGCAUGGACUGGGGUGGAAAGUUUUUCGGCCAGGGAGGGGCUCGCGGCCUAUCAGCUUGUUGGGGGGGUAACGGCCCACCAAGGCGACGACGGGUAGCCGGCCUGAGAGGGCGACCGGCCACACUGGGACUGAGACACGGCCCAGACUCCUACGGGAGGCAGCAGUGGGGAAUAUUGCACAAUGGGGGAAACCCUGAUGCAGCGACGCCGCGUGCGGGAUGAAGGCCUUCGGGUUGUAAACCGCUUUCAGCAGGGGCGAAUUCAGACGU
rnacentral:rRNA from 1 species